ACAUACAAGGGUUUUGUUAAGACAUAAAAUAAAACCUAACAAUAACUUAAAGUCAAAGGUAGCUUACAAAAAAGGUCAGCUCUGAGCUAAAAAAAAUUCCCCGUCGUUCUCCUUUUACUUUCCGAUCGCCGGAGUUUACUAAAUCCGACGCCGUUUUCUCCUCCGAUCAUAAUGGUACCACCACCUCCGGAGGCGGCGAUUCACUCUCCUUCAUCUCCCCAAUACACUCAACAAUUCUUAAGCAACGUUCUCUCCCAACGAGGUCCUUCUUCUCUCCCUUACUCCGAAGACGUCAAAUGGCUAAUCCGUCAACACCUCGUUUCGUUAAUUGACAUGUGUCCUUCUCUUCAACCCAGAACCGCUACUUUCACUUACAACGACGGCAGGACUGUGAAUCUCCUUCAGGCGAACGGCACCGUUCCGAUGGUCUAUCUAGAUGCAACCUACAAUAUUCCGGUCAUUAUUUGGUUACUGGAAUCUUACCCUCGUCAAUCACCGUUGGUAUUCGUGAACCCCACGCGUCAUAUGGUCGUCAAAGACUCACAUCCAUUUGUGAACUCUUCUGGUAUUGUUUCAAUCCCUUAUUUGACAAAUUGGGUAUACCCAAGUUCGAAUCUUGUUGAAUUAGCUCGUAAUUUGAGUCAUUUUUUUAGCCGUGAUCCCCCUUUGUACACCAAACGGAACCCAAAUCCGAACCCGAACCCGAAUCCGCAUCCUCCUCCGGGUACUAGUUUUUCGAAUAGUGGGUCGACUCGACCCGCGAUACCACCUCGGGUGUAUCCACCAUCACCUUAUGGGAGUGGGAGUGGUGGGGUAAUGGGGAGGAAAAUGGAUGAUCAGUCGGAGGUGGAUAAGAAGAAUGCAAUAGAUGAGCUUAUGGUGAAAUUGCAUAGUGAUAUUGAAGGGUUGGGGAAGGCGAGGGAGGCGGAUAUGGAAGGGUUGUUUAAUGCACAAGGAGUGUUGAGGCGUCGAGAGGAGGAGUUGAGGAAAGGGGUCAAGGAAAUGCUGGAUGAAAAGGAGGGGUUAGAGCAGCAAUUACAGAUGGUUUUGAUGAAUACUGAUGUGUUGGAAGGGUGGGUUAGAGAUAACGAAACGAAAGUGAAGAAAAUAGUGAAUGUGGAUGUGGACGAGGCGUUUGAGCUUUGUGAUAGACUUUCGAAACAGAUGUCGGAUUGUACAGCCUCAGAUUUGGCUAUGGAGGAUGUGAUUUAUUCGUUGGAUAAAGCUAUACAGGAUGGGGCAAUUCCUUUUGAUCAGUACUUGAGGAAUGUAAGGUUGUUGUCGCGUGAACAAUUCAUUCAUCGUGCCACGGCUUCAAAGGUUAAGGCUGCUCAGAUGCAGGCUCAAGUUUCUCAUAUGGCUUCUAGGCUGUCUCAAUAUGCUUUGUCAUAGAUGUUGAAUUUUACUUGGAUUAUAUGUGCACUAUGGACAGAAGAGGUUAGUUUUUUUUCCGAGUUAAAAAGGAAUACCUGACUGUGGAGAUUCACAAAUGAGACAUGUCUUGGAAUUGAUGUCAGUGAGUUUCUGACUGUGAGGUGGAGUGGGACAGUUGGAAUCAUGCUCGGGCUCUUCAAAAAUACCAACUGAUGUGUAUCGAAGCUAUGUAUCAUUUAGAGGAUCCUCCAUGGGUGGCAACUUUUUUGGAGGGUUCGAGCAAAGUCUGUUUGGGUGCUAUCGUUUGAUAAUGAUCAUACUUUCCCUAAGAAAACUCUUUUCAGUUGAAUUGAGCAAAAACUUUUGAAUUAUUUGAUUCACUUGUUUCGAAAACAUUUCCAAUCAAGAGUCGAAAAUUACAAAGUAUUUAAUGUUUGAAGUUGA